AAAACUUUCAACAACGGAUCUCUUGGUUCUGGCAUCGAUGAAGAACGCAGCGAAAUGCGAUAAGUAAUGUGAAUCGCAGAAUUCAGUGAAUCAUCGAAUCUUUGAACGCACAUUGCGCCCCUUGGUAUUCCGAGGGGCAUACCUGUUCGAGCGUCAUUGCACCCCUCAAGCCCUCUCUCGGGGUCUUGGUCUUG
rnacentral:rRNA from 1 species